rnacentral:lncRNA from 1 species
CAGCAGGUGAAAACUAAAGGGACUCGCAAAAUAAACAUUUACAAGAACAAUUCUGGAACUCUUAUUAAAACCAAACCAAAACAAACCAAAACAAAACAUUUCUUGUUGCAUUUCACCACGCACUGAAUGGGCAACUGGCUUUGAUGAUCCGAUAAUAGGCAAUCUGUCCAGUAGCCCAUCAGUUCUUUAUUUGGUUUGUUCAUUUAUUGCGUCCUCCAAUCACAAGAGAUCAUUAGGGGUGAAGAAGCCUAUGUGACUACUCGCACACAAAAUCUGCCACCGCGGGCGGGCCAUACUUCCAAUAGAUGAUGGAUAAAGAAUUUUUUUUUCUGGUCUUAGUUGGGGGAGGGGGAGUGUAGGGUGAGGGGGAUAGUGUGCGUGCCUCACUCUACAAGACGAAUUUCCCUAGAAAGAAUCCAAAGAAAACUGCUCCGAUCACCAGCAGAACAACAGGAAGAGGCGUGCUGCGAGCCGGCUUCAAGGACGUGGAGGAGGAGGGUCUGGGCUUGUCGGGAUGCGUUGCCUUUCUGAGUCUCAAGCCAUCUUCCAGUUUGUCACUUUCUGUCGGCGGUUCAAACACACACCUCAGUUUCGAAUCCAUUAGUUCCCCAGGGUGUGCCUCCCUCCACACGGCUUCCAGAUCCGAAAUGUCCGGAGGAGCAAACACUGUCUGCACCAUGAACUUGUGCUUGACCUCCUUGCUGGGGCCGCAGCAGGAGGGUUGCAUCGUGGCAGCGACGGUCACGGUGCAACCCGGGUCGAUGACUCCGUUGUUGGGCCGCACGCAGUAGCGCCGAGGGCUGGUGCUCUUCACCUUGAAACACACCUUCCUCGCCGACGGGUUGCGCAGUUUAAGAUGCGCCGUGAGCAACCCGGUGAAGGGGCCUUUGAACUUGAGGUCCGUGGGUGGGUCGAGGACUAGGACCUGCUGGGGCUUCGCGGGGGCGCGGGAGGUGGACGCCAUGGGGACGGGAGCGGGUGGCGGUUCGCGACCCCGGGUCUCCGCGUCACAACCGCCGUGGCCACGCGCGACCCCAUCCUGGGCAUCCUGGGUCCCAGAAGUGAGGGGAGUGUGUGAAGAUAUAUGGUUUGUAAAACCUUGCCUCCGAGAUAAAGAUGGGUUAUUGAGCUUGAACAGGCAAAGAACUGUGACAUAACAUCUCGUAAAAUAAUUACGUAUCUGAGCCCCUUGAGACUCAGAUCUACGUGUCUGAGUAUCAGAUCUACAUAUCUGAGUCUUGAGGGAAGGAGGGUCCGCGUGUAUUAAACAUGGUAACGUGGUCUGACUGGACCCCUCGUCUGGCCUGACAAUGAAGGUGGAUGCCUGG